rnacentral:rRNA from 1 species
CCUACGGUGGCUGCAGUGGGGAAUAUUGGACAAUGGGCGAAAGCCUGAUCCAGCCAUGCCGCGUGUGUGAAGAAGGCCUUCGGGUUGUAAAGCACUUUCAGUGGGGAAGAAAGCCUUGGGGCUAAUACCCUCGAGGAUGGACAUCACCCACAGAAGAAGCACCGGCUAACUCCGUGCCAGCAGCCGCGGUAAUACGGAGGGUGCGAGCGUUAAUCGGAAUUACUGGGCGUAAAGCGCGCGUAGGCGGUCUGAUAAGCCGGUUGUGAAAGCCCCGGGCUCAACCUGGGAACGGCAUCCGGAACUGUCAGGCUAGAGUGCAGGAGAGGAAGGUAGAAAUCCCGGUGGAGCGGUGAAAUGCGUAGAGAUCGGGAGGAAUACCAGUGGCGAAGGCGGCCUUCUGGACUGACACUGACGCUGAGGUGCGAAAGCGUGGGUAGCAAACAGGAUUAGAUACCCUUGUAGUC